rnacentral:rRNA from 1 species
GACGAACGCUGGCGGCGCGCUUAACACAUGCAAGUCGAGCGAAGCGGCGGACGGGUGAGUAACACGUGAGUAACCUGCCUUAGACAUUGGGAUAGCCUCGGGAAACCGGGAUUAAUACCAAAUGGUCUAAGAUGGACUCGCGUCCCAUUAGCUAGUUGGUGAGGUAACGGCACACCAAGGGGACGAUGGGUAGCCGGCCUGGGAGGUGGAACGGGGACAUGGGAACUGCGGGACGGCGCAGACUGUACGGGAGGCAGCAGUGGGGGAUAUUGCACAAUGAGCGAGAGCCUGAGGCGGAGGCGCCGGGUGCGGGAUGACGGCCUGCGGGUGGUAAACCGCUUUCAGCCAUGACGCGGUAGUGGCAGAAGAAGCACCGGCUAACUACGUGCCAGCAGCCGCGGUAAUAC